AUCUCCUCCGGAUCACUCACCGAGCCCGUGGACAUCCCGUUGUCCCCCUCGCCCACACGCGUCCGCUUUCCUCCCCCCUGGCCAGUCUCGCUGUCUCCGCCUUCCGCUCCCUGGCGGAGGCGGAGGCCAGAGAGCGCUCCGAGGAAGACUAAAAACCCAGGCCAGGAAGCGCGGGGUGAGAAAGUGAGGUGGGCGGCGAGAGCGUGAGCGCCCCUUCGCUGACCCUGGGGAGCGUGGACUAUAAGUUGGCGCCCAAGUCCAGAAUCCGCGCGCACCGCCGAAAAUAUUUGCAGUACCUGCCACAUCCAAGGUUCAGUUGAGGCCAAUGUAAAGCCAGUAUUCUAGGACACUUCUCAGACUGAGAGCCCAAUGUCAUUGGGGACAACUGGGCCACAGGAAAUGCAGGAUCAUGGAAUUCUAAAAUUGGAAGAAAUAUGUUUCUAGUCACCUAGUAUAGCUUCCAAUCCAUAGGAUGAAUCCUCAUGGCUAAUGAAAGCCUGGAAGAGCAUUAGAACCACCAUGAGGCGACUUCAAAUCCUCCCAACACCAGAGAACACUACAUGACAGUGGACAGGAAGACAGUGUACCUUUUGCUC
rnacentral:antisense_RNA from 1 species